UACAGAGGGGGCAAGCGUUGUUCGGAAUUACUGGGCGUAAAGGGCGCGUAGGCGGCCUGCUAAGUCGAACGUGAAAUCCCUGGGCUCAACCCAGGAACUGCGUCCGAUACUGGUUGGCUUGAAUCCGGGAGAGGGACGUGGAAUUCCAGGUGUAGCGGUGAAAUGCGUAGAUAUCUGGAGGAACACCGGUGGCGAAGGCGACGUCCUGGACCGGCAUUGACGCUGACGGCGCGAAAGCCAGGGGAGCAAACGGG
rnacentral:rRNA from 1 species